UGUGGUUCAGUGGUAGAACACUUGCCUUGCAUGUGUGAGGCACUGGGUUCGAUUCUCAGCA
rnacentral:tRNA from 1 species